rnacentral:lncRNA from 1 species
CCACAUUCCAUUAAGUUUCCACAUCUACAUUUCCCUUUGCAUCAACCAUCUCCUCCCCUGCCCGCUUCCCUCCUCCCCUCCACCGCAUGUUUCUCCUGUAUGAAGACCCCAGCGUAACCUCUUCUGGUCAAGGAGAAACCCAAAGUCAGAAAAAUUGGAGUUAUGUGAAAAGUGGGGUUCUGUGAGCUGGAUUUACAGGAGGAUUUCUAAAAUUUAUUUAAGGAACAGUUAGGAGCAGGUUUCUCAAACAUGUGCCCAUGCUCAAAUGCUGAAAAUGCAAACUGGAGAUCAGUAAGGCCCGUUAUGCACAUGUAUUCUUCAUCUCUGAAAAUGGAGAUUGUGGCAGUGUUGGAAACCGCAAAUCCUGGUUACCAGUGGCCCGCUGACAUCCAUCUCCUUCCACGCCCCCCUUCCGGCGUCUACCCCCAGCGUCCCUGGGCCCCCCGAGUCACACCGACACGCACACCUACAGGCCGGCGGCGUGGAGCGUCUAGGGCACGAUGCAGCCGGACUGCAUUGCACAGUCAUCAAAGUUAAGUGUGUUUGUGGGGUGCUUCUGUGCCCCAGGGGAGGCGCGGGGUCAGGAGGAGCGGAGGCUCCACUCUGCACCCCACCCCCCCCACCUCCGCGGGUCAGGGGACGCCUCUACUUGAGAUUGCAGCCAUUUUAGGGAAAGAGGCGGCUCGGGCCCCGAGGGGAGUGGAGGGGGGACAGCACGUCGCGGGGGGCUUGCGGCUCUGCAGCCCCUCGGCGCAACUGGAAGGCGGGUAGGCGCCGGGCGCACAGGGGCGCGGCGCCCGCGGCGACUUGGGGAAGGUUGCGCUCGAGUUCCCUGGUUCUGCCUGGAGUUGUUCGGGGUAACGCGCCGGCUCCUGCCUCUUUCUCGGGUUCCCGCUGGGCUGGGAGGUGGUGGGGGAAGGUGUCGAUGGCAGAUUGGGCACGGGAGGAACGCGACAGAACCUGGAGACUGGAAAGCUAGCGAUGGGGGAAGGGGGGGUAUCUCCUCUCGCCGGUUGGCGCUGACCCAGACAGUGCGACCCACUUGGCCCCCCAUCCUCCCCACCCCCUCCCGAGCCUCUGCCUCCCCACCAAGUACCAAGUGAGCGCGCGGCAGGGGGCAAGGGGCGCGACGCCGCCCGGCACCGAGCCACCCCUUACCUGGUUGGAAGGGGUUUCCCAGGAGGAGCCGUAGUUGUAAAAGAAGGAAGAGAAGAGGGUGUCUUCCGACAGCCCGCAGCCCGCCAUGCUCUGGAUGCAAAUAAAAUGAGGAAAGAAAAAAAAAGCACACAUACACAAAAGCAACCCAAAAUUUUAAAAAUCAAAUUAAACCAAUAAGCCAAGAAGAAAUUCUCUCGAAAAUAAAAGAAAAGGAGGGGGAAGGGAAUGGCAAAGGGAACGGAAACUCUCGGCGGUGCUCCCUCUCCGGGAGAGGAGGGAUGCUCGGGCUGCCGCCGCCGCCGCCGCCGCCGCCGCUGCCGCCUUCUCAAGACGGUACCUAGAUAGGUUCGUCCUGACUUGGGCAGCCGCCGCCGCCGCCUGUGCCGGCUGCGUGUGUGCGCGCGUGUGUGUGCGUGUGCGUGUGUGUGGUGUGUGCGCGCAGAGCGAGAGACCGCAGGGGAAGCGAGAGGGCGAGAUAAUGAGCGAGCCGGGAUGGAGGCGCAGAGGCAGCGCGAGCGGGCGGGCGUGUGCGCGCGGGGGUGCGUGCGUGUGUGUGUGUGUGUGUGUGUUGUGUGUGCGCGCGCGCGAGCGCGCGCGUGUGGCUGGGUGUGCGUCUGUUUGGGGAGCUCACCGGAGAGCCGGGGCCGUCACGUGGGCGCGCUGACUCCGCCGGCUGCCGGGGACAGCCUGUACUACAGCCCCGGCCACUAAAUCAGACCACGCCGCCAGACCUUUUGCAGCCCGCGGCCGGCCGGCCGCCUUCUCCGACCUCCUCGCCAUAGCCGCCGGGCCAUGCGCGUCCCGGGACGGCAGGGGGCGCGGGUGAGGCCGCGGGCAGGUGGAUGGAUGGGUGGGGAGUGGGCCGCCCUGAGCCCGGGAAGAGGAAAAAUGCUCGAGGAAAAACACAGGCGCCCACCCCCCCGCUACGUCCGGCAACCUCCUGGCAAGCCUUCCUUCCGCCCUGUUUGAAGAUUUUUUUUUUUAUUCCUAAAAUUGCUUUUCCAUGCAGAGACCCCUCUUCCAGCCACUGGAAAAUUAUUUUCACAUAGUUGCUAUGUCCCGCUUUUCUUGCUUUCGCGAUCCCUCCAGCCCCCCCGCGCGCGUGUCCACGCAGGCACAGACACACCGGUGCCUGCCUCCUCCCAUUCCAAAUGCAAACCCACUUCCUUUUGCCGGUUGCUGUAGUUAAGCUAAGUCAAUGCUACAUCAAACUAGGCUAGGCUGAGAGGACUGGAAAGUGGAUUUAGGGGACAAUACUGCCCCAGCAGGAAGAAAGGCUCUAGUUUGGCGUUCUGUUGAUUUAACAGUUUAAAACGAAAAUGGAUUUUGUAGCUUCUGCACUAAAACUCAGGCCCCUUGAGUCACAAUUAUUUAAAGGGAGCUAUUCUCUAAAGUCCAUUAUAUGAUAUAAAAAUGUAAACGGAUAUAAUGUCGUCUUUCUCUCUCUCCUCACAAAAUGGUAUUUUAGAACCAAAUCUUUCAGUCUUAAUAAUUGGGUGGCUGAAAGGUGUGUUUUUUUUUUUUCUGCAAGAAGACAUUCUUUACUUGCUUCCCCUUACUCUUUAUACAGAUAUUUAUAGAAAGUAAAAUUUAAAUAAAAACCAGCAUAUCUGUGUAAGAUGCUCUUAAAAGUAUUUGAAUCCUUGCAGGAAGACUUGAAACAACCUCUUAAAGGCAGUUUAUAUUGUUUUCUUUCUGAAUCCCGUUUCCAAAUGCUGCCUAUUUUUAUUCAAACCAAUUGUGUUUUUCCAAGAGUUCACACUUCCACUUGUAAAUUCCCCACUGGAGGUCGAAAUCCUCUGUGAAAUAAACAUUUCCACAGCAACCCAGUGAUGUCAGAAACGUCGGCUAGUGAUUUCAGAGGGGAAAUAAAACAGGAGCAAAGAAUGGCUCUAGAAAGACAGUUCCUUCAUCCUUGCGAAUAGCAUGCCUCCUGGUAGAAAUUCAGAAAACAUUUCUGGCUAAAUACCUGUUUUCUUUUUCUGAGAUUGACUUAUUUUUCAAAGGCAUGUCAAAUGAUCUUUAAAAAAAAAAUAGGUCACCAUCCUCUUUUCUGGAUUGGUGAAGAAUGCUGUUUCAAAUCAGUGGUGCCUAACCACACUGGCCACUGUAGAUUUUUAUAAGGGGGGGAUAUAUUUUUUCUAAAAAUUGAUGUUGGAGAGAACAUUGAAAGAUGAAAUUUUACGUACUAACUUCAGGCCCAAAUAAUGCUGACUGACCUGGCUUCAAACUUACAAUAGUUUUUUUAAAGUAUUAGGCACACAGAAGUUCUAUUCAGUUAUCGAAAUUGGUGCUGAUCUCACCAAUAUUGAAUAAAGGGGCUUCUCCAUUGUUCCCUCUAUUGUUUCCUGUGUCUCCUGGCUGAGAAAAAGAAGGGAGGAAUUCUUCAUACUGCCCCUAAUUCAAUCCCCUUGCAGUCCCACCCCUAUAAACAUUAAAUGUAAAGAGACCAGAAAAUAUUAAAUUAGGCCCAAUGCCUGUGUUUUCUUAGGCUUCCUAUCUAAAUAACAUUUAUACAGAGCAUUAUAGAAAUGUCCACUUUGUAAACUGCUUUUCAUACAUACGUUAGCCCAAGUUAACAUUCUGUUCCUGCAGCCACUCACUGAUUCCCUGAUUUUAGCUCAGGUCCCACAUUCACACCAAUGGAAGUUCAUUCUGUCUGUGUUAUCCCAUCAUCUAUUUGUUGGAUAAAUGGAUUCAUUUCUCACAACAAUUUUGGGAGAAUCAGGACUCUUUAUCUCCAUUUUACAGAUGUGGAAAGAGGCUCAGAGAUGCUAAAUAACCUAACCCAGGUCCUGCAGCUACAAAGUGAUAGAAAUUGAACCUAAACUUUGUGACCCCACCUACCUCUUUCUUCCAGAUCUAACUGAGCCCAUCACAGGCCUGCUCUUCUAUGAACAUUUCCCCCCUGCAUACCAGAUGGAGUAAGUGAUUCCAACCCUUUCCCCCCAGUUGAUGUCAAGUGUACAUUUGUGAAAUGUCUUAAUUUAAAAAUUGAUUGCAUGUGCUCAUCACUGUCCACAAGAGCCCUGUUAGGCAGCAAUUAUUAGUUUUUUUUUUAAUAGACCAGGAAACUGAGGCUUAAGGAAAGACCCCCCUCCCCAACUCCCCCUCCUUCCUACAGCUAGUAAGUGGAAGAGCUGGGUCUUGAACCAAAGACUUCUGGCUCAUGCCUCUCUUUCCCUGAACAAACACACAGGAAAACAGAUACAUGGAUCCACCUAGCAGGCCCAGGGCCUGCAGAGGCAUCCAGGGAUAAAGAGGCAGGAACAGGUUUAAAAGAACCUCCUCUGGGCACAAACAGGGGAACACUGUAUAAAAGUCUCACCUCCAGCCUCAAACGUUUGUUUCCCCUCAAGUCUCCAGCUCUUUCUUUUUUCAACAGGAAAGCCCCCAAAGACGGCCACCUGAAUAGUUUUCUGAUAAAAUGCCUCCUUCCCUGCUUACCCCUCUCCCUGGCAGCUCUGUCACCCCAAAAGAAUUCUGCCUUCCUUGAUAGAUUUGCUCACCUGGCAUCACCACAGUAACCUGGAGGUUUGUUUGCUAGUUCUCAGCAACAUAAAACAAGCUGCCACCCCACCCCCUACCCUCACCGGGGCCCAGAACAGAUGGAGACAGCCCCUUGGGAAGCAGAGGGAGCCAUAAGCUCAUUGAGAAAAGAUCACUCCAGCCACCUUGCCAACUCCUUGCUGUGCAGUAUUCAGAAGUCUGAAGAUGGAAACCCAAAACAGAAAGCUUUUGAUUUCCAGAUCCGCUGUGGUUGUUUCUCUCAAGACAAACCAAACUUUCUUCUGCAUGUAUUCCCCUAUCAUAUUGCCAAGUCACAAUUUGUCACUUUGAAAAUAUGGAAUUUGUUGAACUGAUAUCAUCCUAUUAGUGACAAAUCCAUCUUUAUUCAUAAAUACUUUCCGCCCAAGAAAUAAGUUUUGUAUUAAUAUUGUAUUGGAAAUUAGUUAAUAGUCCAGAUGAUGUGGGGUGUUUUCCUUGUUUAUAAAUGAGGUGCAUUAACACUCUCGUACCACUAGGGUGUCAUUUAGUGAAUGACUGCUCAGCUCUGCAGAUGCAAGAGGCCAAAUUCUUGUAGAUGUGAAUAAAAAAUGAUCAUUUUGGCUAAAACUGCAGAUGGGAAGCAGAUGUAAUGUACAGAGGAAGUCGAUUUCAUUCCAUCUCUUUCCUUUAUUAAGUCUGUUAAUUUGUCUUAUUUAAAAAAGCAUUCUGAAUGCAAACACGUGUUAACUUGAGGCAAAGUGAAAACCAAUAUCAUUCCUGCCUUCAAGAAGUUUACAGUCUCAACAAGUGUUUGGUCUAUUAGGAUUUGGGGUUGCCACUAUUACUUUGAAACUGUUUAAAAGUUUACAUCUCAUCGAAAUCAUAAUUACCCUGGGGAAAGAUUAAAAUUAAGAAAUUGUGAGACACGGAAAUGUCAGGAGGGCAAAAGGAAUGUAUAACAGAAGAGGAAGUUACCUUUUGUGGAAAACACGUGAUGCCAAGGCCAGGGAGGAGGGUGCAACAGUUAAUGCAAAAAGAAACUGAGGCAGGGCCGGGCGCAGUGGCUCACGCCUGUAAUCCCAGCACUUUGGGAGGCCGAGGCAGGCGGACCACUUGAGGUCAGGAGUUUGAGACCAGCCUGACCAACGUGGUAAAACCCUGUCUCUACUAAAAAUACAAAAAUUAGCCAUGGUGGUGCACACUUGCAAUCCCAGCUACCUGGGAGGCUAAGGAGGGAGGAUCGCUUAGAUCCAGAAGGUGGAGGUUGCAGUGAGCUGAGAUGCCACUGCACUCCAGCCUGAGAGACAGAGUGAGACACUGUCUCAAAAAAAAAAAAAAAAUCAAGAAAAGAAACUGAAGAAGAAAUGAACCUCAAAACAGCUACAGCAGUAAUAAUAACAAAUAACUUAGUGAAUGCUUCUAACGUGCCAGGCAUGAUAUACAGCACAUAACAAUCUCUUUUGCUUUGGGCUUCCUUGAGAAAAGGAUUGGAGUGCAAGUUGUUUAUUUGGGAGGUAACCCUAGGAAACACAGGUAAGGAAGUAGGAGAAAUGAGAGAAAGAAGUGGAGGAGGCUGUAAGGAGUGCAACUCUGGGUAAGAAGAGUUUAGUUCUGCUUGGGACCCUCUGGGAGGCAGUGUGGAAUGCACAGUCUAGACUGACCCUCCUGGAAGUGUGAGGGGCUGGGGUAUUUGCUGAUCUUCCAGCUCCUCAGUGGAAGGCUACUCCUAGGUGUUGGUCACUCCCGGGCACAUCCCACCUGUGGCCAGCACAGGCAAAGUGGGGUCUAGCAGCCAGAGUAAGUCCUCGGGCAACGGGGUGCUGCUGCUGAUGGAAUCUGGGAAAUUCAUGGAAAUGGUCAUGCGUGGAAAUGGUCAGGGUUGUGCGGAUCUGAGUUGGGACCAACAGCAUCUGCGACACAAACAUUAACUCAUUUAAUUUUACCAAAACCUUAUGAAGUGGGAACGAUUACAUUUCCAGUUUCUCCCAGGAGAACACAGUCUGAGAGUGAGGAGUGGCAUCUGUUGUUUUUACCCAGCUAGUGUCGGUUCCCUCUUCUGGGAACAGCCCCCUGCUCUUCCUUUGAGAAACAUUCCCUUCCCCGUCUCAGUGAUCUGACCUCACUUUCUCACUCCAGGGAUGUGCAGGGGACCCCAGGUGACCGGAUGAGAGCUCUGCCUCUCCAGAGCCAUAGAGAUUUUCACCAGAGCCAUAGAGAGGCGUGCUCUCUCUGCUGGGAGAGCAAGGCUGGGAGAAUGUGUAAGCCUGGCGCUCUUCCAGGCCAUUUGACUCCCACCGGAAUGAACCCAGCUGCUUAAGAAUGAAGCCAGCUCAGAAGGAAAGAGAGCCUGAGAGGAAGCACUGCAGAUUCCUGACUUAGAUCCUUUGAGUAACUGGAUCCAGCCCAACCUGAAGCUAGACACCUCCCUGGACUUUCUAAGUGUGUAAGCCAAUAAACGUCUCCUCAUUAUAAGCCAGUCUGAGGCUGAUUUAUAGAAGUUAAGCAUUUUGGCCAAGAUCGCACAUCUAACAAGUGUGGAGUAAUAUUCAGAUCCAUACAACCCUAAUUCCAUAUGUGCUAGGGUUCUUAACCACCAUGCUGUACAGUGGCAAAUAGCAUCUAUGGCUGGACAGAGCUCAGAGCCACAUCCUUUCAUUGCCUGGCCCUCACUGGGAGUCUCUUCCCUUCCAGAAGCAGCUGCCAAUUUGUUUAACAGAGUAAUUGAUCAGGGUACAUCUUGAUUUUCUUUGUUUGUUUGUUUUUGACUCUCAUGGAGGCAAACAUCUCAGCUGUAUUUGAAUUGUUUGUUGCAUCAAAUCAUUAAAUGUCUGGACAUGUCUCGAUCACUUGGUGAAAGGCUGGAGUGGAGGUGAGAGAAAGUGUAAAAAGAAAAUAG